AAUGAACGUUGGCGGCAUGGAUUAGGCAUGCAAGUCGGGGGAAUCCCAGCAAUGGGGGAACCGGCGUAAGAGGCAGUAAGGCAUGGGUACCUACCUUGGGGUUCGGGAUAGCCAUCAGAGAUGGUGGGUAAUACCGGAUGACGUCGUGAGACCAAAGAUUUAUCGCCCUUAGAGGGGCCCAUGUGAUAUUAGCUAGUUGGUGGGGUAACGGCCCACCAAGGCGAAGAUGUCUAGCGGGUGUGAGAGCACGACCCGCGCCACUCGCACUGAGACACGGGGGAGACACCAACGGGUGGCUGCAGUCGAGGAUCUUCGGCAAUGAGCGCAAGCUUGACCGAGCGAUGCCGCGUGAGCUAUGAAGGCCUUCGGGUUGUAAAGCUCUUUAGUGGGGGAGAAAAGCGGCAAGGUGUGAUCUAUCCCAAAAAUAAGCACGGGCUAAGUUCGUGCCAGCCGCCGCGGUAA
rnacentral:rRNA from 1 species